UGGUUCUCGCAUCGAUGAAGAACGCAGCGAAUUGCGAUAAGUAAUGUGAAUUGCAGAAUUCAGUGAAUCAUCGAAUCUUUGAACGCAUCUUGCGCUCCUUGGUAUUCCGAGGAGCACGCCUGUUCGAGUGUCGUGAAUACCUCAAGCCGUGAAUUUUCUAAUUCGUGGUUUGGACUUGGACUUUUGCCGUUGUCAAAACGGCUGGUCUCAAAUGCAUUAGCUGACCCACGCUUUGCGUGCUUGGUUCUUACUCGGCGUGAUAAUUUAUCUGACCGCCGAGGACAUUCGCCUUCUUGGUGAAUGGCCAAGUGUGCCUUGGACCGCUUCCAAUCCCCGGCCUUAAUCGGUUGGGAAAACAUUGACAUCUUCAAACUUUUGACCUCGAAUCAGGCGGGACUACCCGCUGA
rnacentral:misc_RNA from 1 species